UUUCAGUUGUGAGGAAGGCGGUAACGUUAAUAGCGUUACCGUUUGACGUUAGCAACAGAAGAAGCACCGGCUAACUCCGUGCCAGCAGCCGCGGUAAUACGGAGGGUGCGAGCGUUAAUCGGAAUUACUGGGCGUAAAGCGCAUGCAGGCGGUCUGUUAAGCAAGAUGUGAAAGCCCGGGGCUCAACCUCGGAACAGCAUUUUGAACUGGCAGACUAGAGUCUUGUAGAGGGGGGUAGAAUUUCAGGUGUAGCGGUGAAAUGCGUAGAGAUCUGAAGGAAUACCGGUGGCGAAGGCGGCCCCCUGGACAAAGACUGACGCUCAGAUGCGAAAGCGUGGGGAGCAAACAGGAUUAGAUACCCUGGUAGUCCACGCCGUAAACGAUGUCUACUUGGAGGUUGGGACCUUGAGUCCUGGCUUUCGGAGCUAACGCGUUAAGUAGACCGCCUGGGGAGUACGGUCGCAAGAUUAAAACUCAAAUGAAUUGACGGGGGCCCGCACAAGCGGUGGAGCAUGUGGUUUAAUUCGAUGCAACGCGAAGAACCUUACCUACUCUUGACAUCCAGAGAAUUCGCUAGAGAUAGCUUAGUGCCUUCGGGAACUCUGAGACAGGUGCUGCAUGGCUGUCGUCAGCUCGUGUUGUGAAAUGUUGGGUUAAGUCCCGCAACGAGCGCAACCCUUAUCCUUGUUUGCCAG
rnacentral:rRNA from 1 species